AGCUGGAGUUACUAGUAAUCGCAGAUCAGAAUGCUGCGGUGAAUGCGUUCCCGGGUCUUGUACACACCGCCCGUCACACCACGGAAGUUGGGGGCGCCCGAAGCCACUUAGCUAACCCAUUUGGGAAGCGAGUGUCGAAGGUGAAAUCAAUAACUGGGGUGAAGUCGUAACAAGGUAGC
rnacentral:rRNA from 1 species